UUGCCCUAACUAUCUCAGAUCUCCGCCAUAGGUUCCCACAAACCCAAAUUUUCCCAAUUCCCUCUCAAAGCUUUGAAGUUGUCAGGAAUUUCUCCAUAGUUCAUUUCCAUCUGAGCAUUCAUUUCCAAAUCUUGAUUCGUGGUUCUGAAACACUAGGGUUUUGACAAGUGGUCCGAUUACAUUCCAUUUCUAUAUUCAAGUGAAAUGUGAAUGUACAGGGGAGAUGACUUUUUGGAGUUUUGACGCCGUUAUUCAGCAAGCUGACGAUGCUGUGUGCCUUUUCUCCGUUGAUAACCCCGCCGCCGUCAAUACCCUUAUUGAUUUAGAGUAAGGUUCUAGCACCAGUGAGCUGACUCCUCAUGAAAGAAGAGAAAACCAAAAGAAAGAGGAAGCUUUGCAUGCUAGCAGUCUUAGUGUUCCUAGAAGACCAGCAUGGAAUGCCAACAUGACUGUUGAAGAACUUGAUGCUAAUGAAAGGCGUGCCUUUUUAGUUUGGCGCCGUAGUCUUGCAAGGCUUGAGGAGAAUGAUAGUCUUGUUCUUACUCCAUUUGAGAAGAAUCUGGAUAUAUGGAGACAACUUUGGAGUGUUCUUGAACGUAGCGAUUUGGUGAGUGUUUAAUUGCAUACAA